GACGAACGCUGGCGGCGUGCUUAACACAUGCAAGUCGAACGGAAAGGCCCCUUUGGGGGUACUCGAGUGGCGAACGGGUGAGUAACACGUGAGUAACCUGCCCUUGACUUCGGGAUAACUUCAGGAAACUGGGGCUAAUACCGGAUAGGAAUCCUUGCUGCAUGGUGGGGGUUGGAAAGCUUCGGCGGUUUUGGAUGGACUCGCGGCUUAUCAGCUUGUUGGUGGGGUAGUGGCUUACCAAGGCUUUGACGGGUAGCCGGCCUGAGAGGGCGACCGGCCACAUUGGGACUGAGAGACGGCCCAGACUCCUACGGGAGGCAGCAGUGGGGAAUAUUGGACAAUGGGCGGAAGCCUGAUGCAGCAACGCCGCGUGCGGGAUGACGGCCUUCGGGUUGUAAACCGCUUUCAGCAGGGGCGAAGCUUGUGGUGACGGUACCUGCAGAAGAAGCACCGGCUAACUACGUG
rnacentral:rRNA from 1 species